rnacentral:rRNA from 1 species
CAGUAGCCACGGUAAUACGAAGGGGGCUAGCGUUGCUCGGAAUCACUGGGCGUAAAGGGUGCGUAGGCGGGUUUCUAAGUCAGGGGUGAAAUCCUGGAGCUCAACUCCAGAACUGCCCUUGAUACUGGAAGUCUUGAGUAUGGGAGAGGUGAGUGGAACUGCGAGUGUAGAGGUGAAAUUCGUAGAUAUUCGCAAGAACACCAGUGGCGAAGGCGGCUCACUGGCCCAUAACUGACGCUGAGGCACGAAAGCGUGGGGAGCAAACAGGAUUAGAUACCCGAGUAGUCCCUGUCUCUUAUAC